GAUUAGAUACCCCGGUAGUCCUGGCNGUAAACGAUGGGUACUAGGUGUAGGAGGUAUCGACCCCUUCUGUGCCGGAGUUAACGCAAUAAGUACCCCGCCUGGGGAGUACGACCGCAAGGUUGAAACUCAAAGGAAUUGACGGGGGCCCGCACAAGCGGUGGAGUAUGUGGUUUAAUUCGACGCAACGCGAAGAACCUUACCAGGUCUUGACANNGAUGGACAGAACUAGAGAUAGUUCCUCUUCUUCGGAAGCCAGAAAACAGGUGGUGCACGGUNGUCGUCAGCUCGUGUCGUGAGAUGUUGGGUUAAGUCNNNCANNNNNCGCAACCCCUAUCUUAUGUUGCCAGCACGUAAAGGUGGGGACUCAUGAGAGACUGCCGCAGACAAUGCGGAGGAAGGCGGGGAUGACGUCAAAUCAUCAUGCCCCUUAUGACCUGGGCUACACACGUACUACAAUGGGAGUUAAUAGACGGAAGCGAGAUCGCGAGAUGGAGCAAACCCGAGAAACACUCUCUCAGUUCGGAUCGUAGGCU
rnacentral:rRNA from 1 species